GACGAACGCUGGCGGUGUGCUUAACACAUGCAAGUCGAACGGUAAGGCCCUUUCGGGGGUACACGAGUGGCGAACGGGUGAGUAACACGUGGGUAGUCUGCCCUGCACUUCGGGAUAAGCCUGGGAAACUGGGUCUAAUACCGGAUAUGAGCUUCUGCCGCAUGGUGGGGGGUGGAAAGUUUUUCGGUGCAGGGUGAGCCCGCGGCCGAUCAGCUUGUUGGUGGGGUAAUGGCCUACCAAGGCGACGACGGGUAGCCGGCCUGAGAGGGUGAUCGGCCACACUGGGACUGAGACACGGCCCAGACUCCUACGGGAGGCAGCAGUGGGGAAUAUUGCACAAUGGGCGGAAGCCUGAUGCAGCGACGCCGCGUGGGGGAUGACGGUCUUCGGAUUGUAAACCCCUUUCAGUAGGGACGAAGCGCAAGUGACGGUACCUGCAGAAGAAGCACCGGCCAACUACGUGCCAGCAGCCGCCGUAA
rnacentral:rRNA from 1 species